AUACAGAGGGUGCAAGCGUUAAUCGGAAUUACUGGGCGUAAAGCGCGCGUAGGCGGCUUGGUCAGUCGGAUGUGAAAGCCCCGGGCUCAACCUGGGAACUGCAUUCGAUACUGCCAGGCUAGAGUAUGGUAGAGGGUAGUAGAAUUCCUGGUGUAGCGGUGAAAUGCGUAGAUAUCAGGAGGAAUACCAGUGGCGAAGGCGGCUACCUGGACCAAUACUGACGCUGAGGUGCGAAAGCGUGGGGAGCAAACAGGAUUAGAUACCCUAGUAGUCC
rnacentral:rRNA from 1 species